rnacentral:lncRNA from 1 species
GGUUUUUCCUACCAUAUUCCUUCAAUUUAUAUUAUCUCAUAUGAUACAAAUUCUAAUAAUUUCUAGGACAACUAAUGCAAAUCCCAUGAUUUAAGGAACAGCUAUAUGGUAUGUACAACAAAAUAAAGUCAAUAAUGAAGAAUCCCAUGAUUGUACAAAUCAUAAUUUUGGAAAUUGAUAUUAAUGAUUGUCUAUUUUUGUAGAGAGCACAGCAAUAUUGAAAU